AUUGAACGCUGGCGGCAGGCCUAACACAUGCAAGUCGAACGGUAACAGGGAUCAGCUUGCUGAUUCGCUGACGAGUGGCGGACGGGUGAGUAAUGUCUGGGAAACUGCCUGAUGGAGGGGGAUAACUACUGGAAACGGUAGCUAAUACCGCAUAACGUCGCAAGACCAAAGAGGGGGACCUUCGGGCCUCUUGCCAUCGGAUGUGCCCAGAUGGGAUUAGCUAGUAGGUGGGGUAACGGCUCACCUAGGCGACGAUCCCUAGCUGGUCUGAGAGGAUGACCAGCCACACUGGAACUGAGACACGGUCCAGACUCCUACGGGAGGCAGCAGUGGGGAAUAUUGCACAAUGGGCGCAAGCCUGAUGCAGCCAUGCCGCGUGUAUGAAGAAGGCCUUCGGGUUGUAAAGUACUUUCAGCGGGGAGGAAGGGAGUAAAGUUAAUACCUUUGCUCAUUGACGUUACCCGCAGAAGAAGCACCGGCUAACUCCGG
rnacentral:rRNA from 1 species